UUCAAAUGUCGUGAAAGCCGCACUUGACGCCCCGGCCAAGUUCUCGUCAGGCUAGUCCUAAAACAAAAGGAACGUGAGUCAUCACUAACAGUUUCGCAAAGACAGAACUACAGUAUAACGUACACUCGCGAGUCGGAACCUGGACGAUACGUGCGGGUUGGCUGUUUUACGUGAGCAGAAGUCAAGAGGUACCUGUUCAGAGUGGUGUAGAACAGUUUUACUUUUACAUAGGGACACGCAACAGAUAGGUUCAGAGGGAGAAAUUUGGACUGGAGGACUCGCUCUUCACAGUGUUGAGGAAAUGAGAAAUCUUCAUGAUGUGAAUGGAAAACCAGAAAAUUCAUGUGGACAUAAGAGGAACGAACAAGCAAGCUUCACACAGUGACCAUUUCAUUAACAAUCCUUUGAUACAUGUUAUUCUCUCUUCUUUCCCAAAAGCUAAUAUAAGGAGAUAUUAAUCUUUCUUUCCAUUCAGAACCAGAUUGUAUUUCCUCCUCACCAGUCAGUGUAUUUCUUUCUUAACAGUGUGACAAAAUUAGAGUUUACCUGACUCUUUAAAACUCAUUCACAAAUGGAAAAAUUAAUUUUCUAUAGUCAAAUUAAUGAUUUGAAAUUUAAUAUGAGGUACCACCAACAGGUAAUUAAAAUACACUGAAACCUUAUUGCAGAAAAAUAGGUAGUAAAAGUAUAAUUCACAUAAAAAAGUACAGACUUUUAGAUUCAGCUUUGUUAAUACUAUUAACAAAAUAAAUAAAUUAUCCAAACAAUGAAAUUUCCUUUACCCAUAAUGGUAUUUUUAAAAGUACAGAUAACAGCUACACAAACUGUCAUCAAGUGGAGGUCACAAAGUUCAGAUACUUCAUCAGUGAAGAAACGGCAUUGUUUUAUUUGGUUCUCUUCAGGACUCAACCACCUGUAUUUUGUAACAUCUUUACUCUUUAUGCAGAAAUUGUGUUGAAAGUAGCAUCCAUGCAAGAGUCAAUAAAGGUAAUGCAGAUAACUGCAGCUUCUGGGAUAAAGAGAUAGGGGGCACUCUGUGGAAAUUUUUAAUGGUGGAUUCUGUUGCUAUGUUUGCAGCUGAAACUUUGUAUGCUGGCAUACUCUUGCAUAAGACUGGAAAAUAUACUGUAUCUGGAUGGAAUUAUCAAUUGAGGUUGGAGAUCCUUAAUAUCAAAGUGCCCCAAAAUAAGCUGUUUUUCUUUUGAAUUGGCAAAGUUAAACAAUAAAUCCAGACAUUGAUGUCACAAAUGAAAUGAGCUUCUCCAUGAUCAAGGUGCAACCAAGAGUGAUCUUUAUUUUUUGAAUGGGUAUAUCAAACACUUAUGCCCAUAUUAAUGAAUGUGUGACAUUGGUACGCACGUCAGAAGUACUUGAGAAGCUGCAUUUUAGUGCAUUCAUGAAUGAAAUUGCACAACAUCAUUUAUUAGGAGAUACACAUGUGGUUUCUGUGAGUGGAAAACUGAGGUGAUAAAUGGAUGACAGAAAUCACACAUCACAAAUGGCAGACACAUUUUGUGUUUUUGUAAAACUCAAUACAGAUGAAGUACAUGGCAAUGCAAGCAUUUCAUAGACAUUUGUAUGUGUGAUACAAAGACUUUAAAAAUGGGAGACCAACUUGUCGAGCAAAUAAUCACUUGAGUGCAGGAGGAAGUCAUGCAAGGUUGUAGGCAAAGCAAUUACAGUGUUUUACAUAGAAUUUUAUUCUGAUCCAUUGUUUGAAGUUCAUGAUCUACAUGAUAGCUGUGCUUUCUUUCAUUGUAUGAGAUUUGUUCACUUUGUGGUAUACCAGCAGGCACUGCUCAUGUUCUUUUAUAAACCAUUGUGUUAUUCUAGA